rnacentral:rRNA from 1 species
CGUCAGGACGAACGCUGGCGGCGUGCUUCAUACAUGCAAGUCGAGCGAGAAGUCGACCUUCGGGUGAUGGAAAGUGGCGGACGGGUGAGUAAUGUGUAGAGAAUCUGCCCUUUAGUGGGGGACAACAGUUGGAAACGACUGCUAAUACCCCAUAUGCGCGUAGCUGAGAUGCUAUUCGUGAAAACUCCGGUGCUAAAGGAUGAGUCUGCAUCUGAUUAGCUAGUUGGCGGUGUAAUGGACCACCAAGGCGACGAUCAGUAGCUGGUUUGAGAGGAUGAUCAGCCACAAUGGGACUGAGACACGGCCCAUACUCCUACGGGAGGCAGCAGUAGGGAAUUUUGCGCAAUGGGGGAAACCCUGACGCCAGCAACGCCGCGUGAUUGAAUAAGCCCUUCGGGGUGUAAAGAUCUGUCAGUAGGGACGAAACUUGACGGUACCUACAGAGGAAGCAUCGGCUAACUCCGUGCCAGCCGCCGC